GGAUGCGAUCAUACCAGCACUAAAGCACCGGAUCCCAUCAGAACUCCGAAGUUAAGCGUGCAUGGGCGAGAGUAGUACUAGGAUGGGUGACCUCCUGGGAAGUCCUCGUGUUGCAUUCC
rnacentral:rRNA from 1 species